UUGUGGGGAGGGCAGGGGUUUGGCUGCUGGAGGAGAGAUUGGAGAGUCCCCUCCAACUUGGGAGCAUCUCAGCACGUUGUUGGAUCAUCCCUCCACCUCGUCUUGAGCAUCCUUCUGAUGAGGGAUCAGAGCAUCCCCCCACCUUGGAGCAUCCCUCAACCUCGUUGGAACAUCCCUCCACCUCAUCAGAGCAUCCCACCACCUCCUCGGAGCAUCCCACCACCUUGACAGACCAUCCCUCCACCAAUAGAGCAUCCCUCAACCUUGUUGGAACAUCCCUCAACCUCAUCGGAGCAUCCCACCACUUUGGAGCAUCCCUCCACCUUGUCAGAGCAUCCCACCACCUCAUCAGAACAUCCUUCCACCUCAUCAGAGCAUACCAUCCCCUCGUCAGAGCAUCCCAUCACCUUGGAGCAUCCCUCCACCUUGUCAGAGCAUCCCACCACCUCAUCAGAACAUCCCACCACCUCAUCGGAUCAUCCCACCACCUCAUUGGACCAUCCCGCCACUUUGUCAGAGCAUCCCUCCACCUUGGAGCAUCCUGUCAACUCUUUAGAACAUCCUUCCACCUCAUCGGAGCAUCCCUCCACCUUAGGGCAUCCCUCAACCUUGUCAGAGCAUCCCACCACCUCAUUGGAGCACCCCUCCACCUCACUAGAACAUCCUUCUACCUCAUCAGAACAUCCCACCACCUCAUCAGAGCAUCCCACCACCUUGUCAGACCAUCCUCUCCACCAAUAGAGCAUCCCUCAACCUUGUUGGAACAUCCCUCAACCUCAUCAGAGCAUCCCACCACCUCAUUGGAGCAUCCCACCACCUCAUUGGAGCAUCCCACCAUCUUGCCAGAGCAUCCCUCCACCUUGGAACAUCCCUCCACCUUGGAGCAUCCUGUCAACUCUUUAGAACAUCUCUCCACCUCAUCAGAGCAUCCCUCCAGCUCAUUGGAGCACCCCUCCACCUCAUCAGAACAUCCUUCUACCUCGUCACAACAUCCCACCACCUCAUCAGAGCAUCCCACCACCUUGACAGAGGAUCCCUCCACCUUGGAGUGCCCCUUCACCUUGGAGCAUCCCGUCAACUCACCAGAGCAUCCCACCACCUUGUCAGAGCGUUCCUCCACCUUGGAGCAUCCCUCCAUCUCUUUGGAGCAUCCCUCCAUCUCUUUGGAGCAUCCCACCACCUCCUCGGAGCAUCCCACCACCUCCCCAGAGCAUCCCACCACCACAUCCCAACCAAGAGCCUGGGUGGGAGAUGCCAGAACCGGGAACUGGAUGCGGGAUGGGGGGAGCCACCGUGCACCCCCUCUGCAAAGCAGGUUUUUGGGGAGGAACAGCUCAAAUAUAACUCAGCCGGGUGUCAGAAAACACCUUUUCCACUCAAAACCCCCCAAAUUACCCCAUUUAAGGCUUCGAUGUCCCUCCAAACUCCCGGAGGGUGACAUCCCACCAAGCUGCACCCUCAGCGGAACCCGUUCCCUCCCCUGCAAAAGGCCCGUGGGGUCAUGGCGGGGGGACAAAGCCUUUAUGGAGAGGUCUGGGGUGCCCCCCGCCCCCCGAAAUCCUCCCGUCCGGGCUGGGGGGUGAGUUACGGCAGCGUUUCCCCACCCGUCCCUCUCCCGCCUUUGCAUAACUCACGGCGCUUGGCACCGGGCUCUUUAGGAGAAGGAUGCUCCGGUCAGCCACAAUAAUAAAUAGAUAAAUAAAGGCCUGGAAAGUCUCCGU
ensembl:lncRNA